UACGGAGGGGGCUAGCGUUGUUCGGAAUUACUGGGCGUAAAGCGCGCGUAGGCGGCUUUGUAAGUUAGAGGUGAAAGCCCAGGGCUCAACCCUGGAAUUGCCUUUAAGACUGCAUCGCUUGAACAUCGGAGAGGUAAGUGGAAUUCCGAGUGUAGAGGUGAAAUUCGUAGAUAUUCGGAAGGACACCAGUGGCGAAGGCGACUUACUGGACGAUUGUUGACGCUGAGGUGCGAAAGCGUGGGGAGCAAACAGG
rnacentral:rRNA from 1 species